rnacentral:misc_RNA from 1 species
GAUGAAGAACGUAGCGAAAUGCGAUAAGUAAUGUGAAUUGCAGAAUUCAGUGAAUCAUCGAGUCUUUGAACGCACAUUGCGCCCCCUGGUAUUCCGGGGGGCAUGCCUGUCCGAGCGUCAUUGCUGCCCUCAAGCACGGCUUGUGUGUUGGGCCCCCGUCCCCGGUUUCCCCCGGGGACGGGCCCGAAAGGCAGCGGCGGCACCGCGUCCGGUCCUCGAGCGUAUGGGGCUUUGUCACCCGCUCUGUAGGCCCGGCCGGCGCCAGCCGACACCCAACUUUAUUUCUAAGGUUGACUUCGGAUCAGGUAGGGAUACCCGCUGAACUUAAGCAUAUCAAUAGCGGAGGA